UGCCAGCAGUCGCGGUUAGACCAAGAAAUUAAGUUAUAUAAAAGACGGUAAAAAGACAGUUAGGCAUACGUUAUUAAAAGUUUUUUUAUUAUUUAUAAAGAAGUAAAAUUCGCAUAUAGAUAUAUAAUUUAAUAAAAACUAGCUAGCUGAAUCUGUAAAAGCUUGGGGGGAAACUGGGAUUAGAUACCCCAUUAUUCCUAGCUGUAAACUAAAGUUAGAUUUACCAGAGUACUACGAACGUCACAAAUUUAAAACUCAAAGGACUUGGCGGUAUUUUAGACCAUUUAGGGGAACCUGUCUCAUAAUCGAUAAUCCACGUUAUACCUGACCUUUUUUGUUCUCAGUUUGUAUAUCGUUGUCGUCAGGUAACUUUUGAGAAACCAGAAGUUAGCUAACAAUAGUAAAUUUAAACGUCAAAUCAAGAUGCAGCUAACAGAAAGGUGAAGAUGGGUUACAAUUAUUUUAAUUAUAACUACAGAAAAUCAUUAGAAUUAGUGAUAAAGAAGGAGGACUUAAAAGUAAAUUGAAUUAUAUAAGCAAUUUGAAUACGGCUCUGAAAUGUGCACACAUCGCCCGCCACUCU
rnacentral:rRNA from 1 species